rnacentral:rRNA from 1 species
GUAAUGUAUGGGGAUCUGCCUGAUGGCGGGGGAUAACUACUGGAAACGGUAGCUAAUACCGCAUAAUGUCUGCGGACCAAAGCGGGGGACCUCCGGGCCUCGCGCCAUCAGAUGAACCCAUAUGGGAUUAGCUAGUAGGUGAGGUAACGGCUUACCUAGGCGACGAUCCCUAGCUGGUCUGAGAGGAUGAUCAGCCACGCUGGGACUGAGACACGGCCCAG